rnacentral:misc_RNA from 1 species
GAUGAAGAACGUAGCGAAAUGCGAUACGUAAUGUGAAUUGCAGAAUUCAGUGAAUCAUCGAAUCUUUGAACGCAUAUUGCGCUCUCUGGUAUUCCGGAGAGCAUGCUUGUUUGAGUAUCAGUAAACACCUCAACUUCCAUAUCUUUUUUGAAAUGGGGGUUGGACUUGAGUGAUCCCAACGCUUUUCCUCACCGAAAAGUGGCGGGUUACUUGAAAUGCAGGUGCAGCUGGACUUUUCUCUGAGCUAUAAGCAUAUCUAUUUAGUCUGCCUAAAAAACAGAUUAUUACCUUUGCUGCAGCUAACAUAAAGGAGAUUAGUUCUUGUGCUGACUGAUGCAGGAUUCACAAAGACAGGCUUCGGCCGACUUUGUAAACUCGAUCUCAAAUCAAGUAAGACUACCCGCUGAACUUAAGCAUAUCAAUAAGCGGAGGA